rnacentral:rRNA from 1 species
UACGAAGGGGGCUAGCGUUGCUCGGAAUCACUGGGCGUAAAGGGCGCGUAGGCGGUCAGCACAAGUCAGUUGUGAAAUCUCCGGGCUUAACUCGGAAAGGUCAACUGAUACUGUGCGACUAGAGUGCGGAAGGGGCAACUGGAAUUCUCGGUGUAGCGGUGAAAUGCGUAGAUAUCGAGAGGAACACCUGCGGCGAAGGCGGGUCUCUGGGCCGAUACUGACGCUGAGGAGCGAAAGCGUGGGGAGCGAACAGG